GCUAGAAAAUACCACAUUUAUUUGUCUAUUUGUUGCCAAAGUAUUAGUACCUGAUAUCCUUUGAAGAACCGUUUUCGUAUGGAUAGGAAAACCAUUUUUUUUUUUUUUUUUUUUUGAAAUCACCUACUUAAUCACAAUAAUAAUAAUUCGUAAUCUUAUAGUAGGUAUAUCGAGUUAACGAGCGGGGAACGGGCACACGGUAAUAGUUUUAAAUAUUUUUAUCUUAACUCUUAAUUACAACUGUAUAAAAUCGUUUGAAAAAAAAAAAAAUGACUUAGAG